rnacentral:misc_RNA from 1 species
CAACGUUCAGAUCAGCAGCAUGCGGUUUCUGCCCGCGCAGCGUCAGGCAGAACUCAAAGGCAUGGAGCGCGACCUGGUUCGAAUCUUUUCGGCGGCGGUGGCCGGCGUCGCGCCUCACCUCAAGGGCACGAAGAUGCUCACCCCCGUCACGAUGUCGCUGUUCGGCAUGGUGAACUGGCACUACCUCUGGUUCAAAAGCACGGGAG